rnacentral:lncRNA from 12 species
AUGUGGUUCCCAGUAAGGCUUCCAAGGGCCACAUCCCUAAUGGCCACUCUACUUUUUCACAUUUUUCUCCCCAGUCAUGGCCAUUUAACCACACCUGCAGGAUGCACUAAACUCCAACCUUCUGGAUCAAUUCUCUUCUUGGCAAGGACCCUCCUCAGAAUACUGCACAUUACCCUACAGUCACUGAGAGUGAGCUACUGGCAGGACCGUCCCUCCUCAGGAAAGGAGUCCUCCAAAAAGGAUAAACAUGCAUCUUCUGGGCAGGUGGGUCCCUCUCCCUCUCUGGACAAAUGGGAAGGCUGUACUGACAAUUCUAUGGAUUCUCUUGCCUGUACUUCAAGAUUUGCUAAUGUUUUUCUCACUAGGGCAGUACCAUGAAAAGAGGAGGAAGGGCUUCCUGUAAGAGUGUGGGAGAAUUAGUCUCUCUCAAGUAACCAUCCUGUGAUUCAUGAAGCAUUGUUGUUGCUGUUUUAUUCCAGCCAGUUUAUUGCUGUUGAGCACCCCCAGAAGACAUGGAGAAAGAAUAUCACUUUGCUUCCUCUCUAGGGAUGAAUGACUAGAACCACCUAAUGUGAAAGUUUGGGGAAUCUUUCACUGCUGAGGUUGGGAGAUUGGGAGGUCUGUGGUGAUUCUGGAACUCAUUUUACAAAAUAGACAAUGAAGUAAUUGAUGCACUGUUUUCAAUUAAAAUUGCAUUUUUGUGGUUUUUUUCUUGUGAAAAUAAAAGCUUGGAAGGAUGAUGGUAUAACA